rnacentral:tRNA from 1 species
AGGAAUUUAGGUUAAUUUAGACCAAGAGCCUUCAAAGCCCUAAGCAAGUAAUCUUACUUAAUUCCUG